AUUGAACGCUGGCGGCGGGCCUAACACAUGCAAGUCGAGCGGAUGAAGGGAGCUUGCUCCUGGAUUCAGCGGCGGACGGGUGAGUAAUGCCUAGGAAUCUGCCUGGUAGUGGGGGAUAACGUCCGGAAACGGGCGCUAAUACCGCAUACGUCCUGAGGGAGAAAGUGGGGGAUCUUCGGACCUCACGCUAUCAGAUGAGCCUAGGUCGGAUUAGCUAGUUGGUGGCGUAAAGGCCUACCAAGGCGACGAUCCGUAACUGGUCUGAGAGGAUGAUCAGUCACACUGGAACUGGGACACGGUCCAGACUCCUACGGGAGGCAGCAGUGGGGAAUAUUGGACAAUGGGCGAAAGCCUGAUCCAGCCAUGCCGCGUGUGUGAAGAAGGUCUUCGGAUUGUAAAGCACUUUAAGUUGGGAGGAAGGGCAGUAAGUUAAUACCUUGCUGUUUUGACGUUACCAACAGAAUAAGCACCGGCUAACUUCGUG
rnacentral:rRNA from 1 species